rnacentral:rRNA from 1 species
CCUACGGGGGGCUGCAGUGGGGAAUAUUGCACAAUGGGCGCAAGCCUGAUGCAGCCAUGCCGCGUGUGUGAAGAAGGCCUUCGGGUUGUAAAGCACUUUCAGCGGGGAGGAAGGCGUUAAGGUUAAUAACCUUGUCGAUUGACGUUACCCGCAGAAGAAGCACCGGCUAACUCCGUGCCAGCAGCCGCGGUAAUACGGAGGGUGCAAGCGUUAAUCGGAAUUACUGGGCGUAAAGCGCACGCAGGCGGUCUGUCAAGUCGGAUGUGAAAUCCCCGGGCUCAACCUGGGGACUGCAUUCGAAACUGGCAGGCUAGAGUCUUGUAGAGGGGGGUAGAAUUCCAGGUGUAGCGGUGAAAUGCGUAGAGAUCUGGAGGAAUACCGGUGGCGAAGGCGGCCCCCUGGACAAAGACUGACGCUCAGGUGCGAAAGCGUGGGGAGCAAACAGGAUUAGAUACCCCAGUAGUC